rnacentral:ncRNA from 1 species
CCUCUUGAAUCUAAGCAAAUUACUAAGCAGAGGAAAAGAAACUAACCAGGAUUCCCCCAGUAGUGGUGAGCAUAGAGGGA